CUAAGUUGAAUGACUGCCCCCAAAGUGUCUGUGUCCCAUUACCCACAACUUGUGACUAUCUUACUCCACACGACUCAAACUAAUCGCAUGAGUCCUUAAAAAUGGAAAGACUUUUCCCUGGCUACAACCAAUGGGGGAGAUAGCAGCAUGAGAAGGAUGGACUGCCCCCCGAAUCCUCAUUCUGAAAUGUAGGAGGCUGUGUACAAGAAAAUCUGCCAGCAGCUCCCAUGAGCUAGGAAACAGAUCCUUCCCUACAGCCUCCAGAAAGGAAUGCAGCCUUGAUCUUAGCCCAGUGAAACCUGUGUCAGACUUCCAACCUACUGAACUAAUGAAAAUCUGGUGACGAUAAGACACCUUUGACAACAUGGAAGAGAGUAACACCCUGAAGAACAAUAAAACAGCAAAAUGAAAAAAAAAAAAAAAAAGGCUGGCUCUCUGAAGGACCUUGUGUAGCAGAGCUGCUUGACUACACUGGAUCUCAC